UACGGAGGGGACUAGCGUUGUUCGGAAUUACUGGGCGUAAAGCGCACGUAGGCGGAUUUGUUAGUCAGGGGUGAAAUCCCGAGGCUCAACCUCGGAACUGCCUUUGAUACUGCAAAUCUCGAGUCCGGAAGAGGUGAGUGGAAUUCCUAGUGUAGAGGUGAAAUUCGUAGAUAUUCGCAAGAACACCAGUGGCGAAGGCGGCUCACUGGCCCCGGUACUGACGCUGAGGUGCGAAAGCGUGGGGAGCAAACAGGG
rnacentral:rRNA from 1 species